GAUUCAGCUGUGGUGUAUUUAAGCCUCAUGUGUGCUUUGUGCUCACUUAGGAGGCAAGCAUGCUCAUGCAGACACUUGUUAUGUGCAGCUUGAUAGAAGAUAUGAUGUACCUCUGAAGGAGAUUAUUUUGAAACUGGCAAGAUAACCUAGGAUACCUGUCAAGGGAUUUACAUUUCCAAUUUGUGAAGAAUGAAGACAUGUUUUGGCAUCUCUGGCUUUGAAGUACUUUGCAUGUUCUGUUCUCCAGCUGUGAAGACUUGGUCUUGAACCGUUUAUACAUUCACACUUUCUACUUGUUGUAUUUUUGCAUUUGUUGUAUUUUGCUGAUUCUAUUCAUGGUCUGUGGCCAGUUGUAUUUUGUAUGCUUGCAGACAUUCUUCAUGUGCAUGUUUAAUAUAUCUUAACCUUGUUUA